rnacentral:rRNA from 1 species
GACGAACGCUGGCGGCGUGCUUAACACAUGCAAGUCGAACGGUAAGGCCCUUCGGGGUACACGAGUGGCGAACGGGUGAGUAACACGUGGGUGAUCUGCCCUGCACUUCGGGAUAAGCCUGGGAAACUGGGUCUAAUACCGGAUAGGACCACUGCCUGCAUGGGUGGUGGUGGAAAGCUUUUGCGGUGUGGGAUGGGCCCGCGGCCUAUCAGCUUGUUGGUGGGGUGAUGGCCUACCAAGGCGACGACGGGUAGCCGGCCUGAGAGGGUGACCGGCCACGCAGGGACUGGAAUACGGCCCAGACUCCUACGGGAUGCAGCAGUGGGGAAUAUUGCUCAAUGGGCGCAAGCCUGAUGCAUCGACGCCGCGUGAGGGAUGACGGCCUUCGGGUUGUAAACCUCUUUCAGCACCGACGAAGCGCAAGUGACGGUAGGUGCAGAAGAAGGACCGGCCAUCUACGUGCCAGCCGCCGCGGUAA